CUUUCUGCCAAAUUGUAAUGCCUCCCUUCUCCGCCUCCCCCGGCCCGUCGGGUUGGAGGCCAGAGCGAUGAUUGGAAGGUGAAGGAGAAAUCGACUUUCUCCCCCCUCGACGACGUGACAGCUAAGGACCCUCCAAAUGGAACCGUCUGUGACUCACUCUGUCUGCUUGCCUGUCCUUGAAUCACCCCAUUCAAAGUGAGCAAACACUUCGCCGGGUUUGCUUCAGCAUCUGACUUCCAGGCACAAAAUUAAACCUGGAGGGUGAGAAGCACCCGCCAUUUCCUGGAACACAGUCUUGAAAGAACCGCACCCAGAGGAUAGAGGAGGUAAGAACACGGGUGUGUGUCUGGUCUUGGGAAAGAACGCAAAUAGAGUGGACUUUGGGGUCAUUGAUUUCAAAUUCCACCUGUGUCACCUACUAGCAGUGUGACCUUGGUCACAGUCUUUAGUCUCUUUGAGCCUCUCUUCUCAUCUUUAAUAUUAGUAUCACAACCCUCAUUUCAUCUGAUUGUUAUGGAUCCUUAAUAAAUGUUACUUCUCUUUUCUCA
rnacentral:lncRNA from 12 species